rnacentral:rRNA from 1 species
UGGGGAAUCUUGGACAAUGGGCGCAAGCCUGAUCCAGCCAUGCCGCGUGAGUGACGAAGGCCUUAGGGUUGUAAAGCUCUUUCGGCGGGGAAGAUAAUGACGGUACCCGCAGAAGAAGCCCCGGCUAACUCUGUGCCAGCAGCCGCGGUAAUACAGAGGGGGCAAGCGUUGUUCGGAAUCACUGGGCGUAAAGCGCACGUAGGUGGAUAGUUAAGUUCGGGGUGAAAUCCCAGGGCUCAACCCUGGAACUGCCUCGGAUACUGGCUAUCUCGAGUCCGGAAGAGGUGAGUGGAAUUCCUAGUGUAGAGGUGAAAUUCGUAGAUAUUAGGAAGAACACCGGUGGCGAAGGCGGCUCACUGGUCCGGUACUGACACUGAGGUGCGAAAGCGUGGGGAGCAAACAGGAUUAGAUACCCCCGUAGUCCCUGAGCGGGCUGGCAAGGCGCAU